rnacentral:rRNA from 1 species
AUGCGGGCCGCCGAAGCUGCAUCGCAGUUCUCCCUGUCGUUGCCGACCACCGCGUCGGGGAGCUUCCGCCAUGGCCGUCGUGCUGCAUCGAAGCACCAUCGCCGGCAACGCUGCAUCGGCCAUGGCCGUGGGCGCUGCAUCUCAGCUUUCGCCGUUGUCGCCACGCGCUACGUCACAACACCCGUCACCGCCAAUGGAGCUUCGCCGGGGGGCACCGGUGCUGCAAUGGAGCUUCGUCGAUGGCCGUCGGGGUUGCGUUGGAGCACCGCGUGCCGGUGUUGCAGCUGCAAUGAAGCAGGGUCGGAGCUGCGACGGGCCGCCGGCGCUGCGUUGGAGCACCACGUGCCGGUGUUGGCGCUGCAAUGGCACAUGGCCGGAGUUGCUACGGGUCGCAGCAGCUGCGUUGGAGCACCCCCGCACCGGUUUGGGCGCUGCAAUGGCGCAUGGCCGGAGUUGCUACGGGUCGCCGGAGCUGCGUUGGAGCACCACCGCGCCGGUUUUGGCGCUGCAAUGGCGCAUCACCGUGCCGCCGUUGCUGCUGAACACCCAGCUCCGCCGACCGCCGUUGAGGGGGGUGCGGCUCCUGCUUGCGAAGCCGUGCAGAGCUCUGCUUCCACAGCGACUCUUGUUGUUUCUUCACUACGAAUCCAACGGCUGCCAGGGAAAGAUCAAACGGCCGUACAGGCGGAUGAUUUCUCUAAGAAAUUAUCCGGCUGA